UCGUCGUCGAAAACGGUGGUUCUGUGCAAAAACAAAUCUUUCCCGAAAAAAAGCGGUGCAUCUGUUUCCGUGGUUUUUGUCGUUUGCCCCUGCGUAAGUGUGUGUGUGUACGAUCCGCGUGCGGUGCGCUUCAACGAGAUCGAUUUCGCAGCGAAUGAACCGGGCCUAAGUAAUUAGAAACGCAACAGCAAAAAAAAACGUUAGCGAAAAAAAACGCACAGGAAGAAGAGAAUUGAAAAAUUCGUCGUCGCUUCCGUCGGUAAGCGUUUGUCAAACGCCCGAAACAACGUGACAGAGAGCGAGAGAGCGAGAUAGCGAUAACGAACAGUUCGAUACGUGUUACGGAGCGGUCUUUGAGUGUGUUGUACUCGCAGAAUCGUGAGAGAGAGAGAGCGCGAGAGCGAGCAGCGUGCAAUCGCGUGCGUGAGUGUGUGUGAGAGAGCAUCCGAGGCGAGAGAGAGAGAGAGAGUAUAUCAGUCAAGGUAGUCCGCUCAGCAGCCAGCACGAGCAGCAGCAGCAGAAGUAAAAGUAAAUUGUAAGCCGCCGCAGUAGUUAGCAGUUGUCGCAGCAGAGUUCGCAGCCAGCAGCAGCAGCAGCAGCGCCACCAGCCAGAGCAGCAGUUGCAAAACCUUCUAUUGUCAGCCAGCUUUUCGUGCAGCGAUACCACAGACACCAAGCACCUUUUAAACGCAAAAAUGGCCGAUCAACUUACGGAAGAACAGAUCGCUGAAUUCAAAGAAGCAUUCUCCCUGUUCGACAAAGACGGCGAUGGCACAAUCACCACCAAGGAAUUAGGCACCGUAAUGCGAUCGCUAGGUCAGAACCCCACAGAAGCUGAACUGCAAGACAUGAUCAACGAAGUCGACGCAGACGGUAACGGCACGAUUGAUUUCCCCGAGUUUCUAACAAUGAUGGCUCGUAAAAUGAAGGAUACUGAUAGUGAAGAAGAAAUCCGAGAGGCAUUCCGAGUCUUCGAUAAGGACGGCAACGGUUUUAUUUCGGCAGCUGAGCUGCGUCACGUCAUGACUAAUCUCGGCGAGAAACUAACAGACGAGGAAGUCGACGAGAUGAUCCGUGAAGCCGAUAUAGAUGGCGAUGGCCAAGUUAAUUAUGAAGAAUUCGUAACAAUGAUGACAUCGAAGUGAGCUACAGGUCGAUACUUUGCGCCUUUCUAUUUGUUUAUUAAGAAGACUGUAGCCUCGCGCAACAACAGCUGCGCAACGCUAUCGAUAUGGAUUUAAAAGCAAGAAAAUGAAGAAACAGCGUCGUGGGCCAUGGAGAGUGGAGACAGAACAAGAUGAUGAGUUAAAGAAAGGAAGGAAAAUACAAAGAGUAAAAUACUGAGAGUUAAAAAAACGAUUAACAUUAAAUUUAACUUAAAGCAUAACACUGAAAAUACAAAAAACAAAGCGAGUAUGAAAAACGUUAAGUAAUGUGAAAAUGUGAAAACAAAACAUCAAGAACAUCUACUACAACAACUACUACAACUACAGCCGCAAAAGAUGCAACAACAGGACAGCCAUAAAUAAACAUCUUCAUCACCACUUCCAUCACAAGAGACACAACACACCUCUCCCACGCAGGUGAAAGAAAGAGAAAAGUGUGUCGGCACAUAGUGGAACAGUGGAAAAAAUGGAAAUAGUAAGCAGCAACAGCAGCAAUGCAGAAGCAGCAGCAUGGGCAGCAAUAACAGAAGCGACAGGAUAAGCGCAGCAACAGCAGCCAUAAUAGCCGCAGCAGCCGCAACAGCCGCCGCAGCCGCAGCAUUUGCAGCAGCACUAGCAUAAGCAAGAGUCUGUUGUUACACUACUAUUGAAAAUUUGGUCAAAGCUAUGCAAUCUUCGUGAUAAUUUUUCAUAAUAUAAGCUUAAUCUUACUUUUUGACGUGAGAUUAGGCAAUAUUUAGUACGACUGUUGUGGGCAGUGAGUUUUCCAAUUUUUCAAACAUAAAAAGAAUCAAAUUUGGAAUGUGACUCCUCUCUGUUCUGUGGAAAAGGUGUUGCUAAAGCAGGAGAAGCAGUUUAUCGUCAACGUUGUAUCGAAUGAAAUUCAAAUCACGUAUAAGAAAUCUGUAAGUCUAGUUUAAUACUUAACAUCGGACAAAGAUUUUGAAACAUAAUACACAAAACAAACUGAUCGGCAGUUGUAGUCCUGCAGCAUAAGCAGCUACAGUUAACAUCGGUAAAAAAAUCACUGUCAGAAUGUAGAAUGCAUACAAACCAAAAAGAAAAACGAAAACAUGGUUGAAUAAGAACAGCAUAAAUGUAGCGAACAAAGCAGAAAACAAAAGAGAUAGUAAACCAGUAAACAUUAUUGAUAAACAUAAGAGCUUUUCACUAAGAACUAUUACCAGCAGUAAGAGAAUGGAUAAAACAAUGUUUAUGAAACACCUACAUAAAAAUUAAAAAAAAACAGCUAUACAAUCGCAAACACACAUACACACACAUAAACAGUACACUAAUCUUAACAAUAAAACAAACACAAAAAAAAAAACAAACUCCAAAUGAAAGACAUUUUAUUCCUUUCUUCCUUUCUUUCUUUCGUCGUCGUUGUCGU